rnacentral:tRNA from 6 species
AGGAUUAUAGUUUAAAACAAAACAUUUGAUUUGCAUUCAAAAAAUAUUAUUUUUAAUUUAUCUUA